AGAGUUUGAUCCUGGCUCAGAUUGAACGCUGGCGGCAUGCUUUACACAUGCAAGUCGAACGGCAGCGGGUCCUUCGGGAUGCCGGCGAGUGGCGAACGGGUGAGUAAUGCAUCGGAACGUGCCCAGUCGUGGGGGACAACGUAGCGAAAGUUACGCUAAUACCGCAUACGACCUGAGGGUGAAAGCAGGGGAUCGCAAGACCUUGCGCGAUUGGAGCGGCCGAUGUCAGAUUAGCUAGUUGGUGGGGUAAAGGCUCACCAAGGCGACGAUCUGUAGCGGGUCUGAGAGGAUGAUCCGCCACACUGGGACUGAGACACGGCCCAGACUCCUACGGGAGGCAGCAGUGGGGAAUUUUGGACAAUGGGGGCAACCCUGAUCCAGCCAUGCCGCGUGCGGGAAGAAGGCCUUCGGGUUGUAAACCGCUUUCGGACGGAAAGAAAUCGCCAUCUCUAACAUAGGUGGUGGAUGACGGUACCGUAAGAAGAAGCACCGGCUAACUACGUGCCAGCAGCCGCGGUAAUACGUAGGGUGCGAGCGUUAAUCGGAAUUACUGGGCGUAAAGCGUGCGCAGGCGGAUUGUUAAGCAAGAUGUGAAAUCCCCGGGCUUAACCUGGGAAUGGCAUUUUGAACUGGCAGUCUAGAGUGCGUCAGAGGGGGGUGGAAUUCCACGUGUAGCAGUGAAAUGCGUAGAGAUGUGGAGGAACACCGAUGGCGAAGGCAGCCCCCUGGGAUGACACUGACGCUCAUGCACGAAAGCGUGGGGAGCAAACAGGAUUAGAUACCCUGGUAGUCCACGCCCUAAACGAUGUCAACUGGCUGUUGGGAGGGUAACCUCUUAGUAGCGAAGCUAACGCGUGAAGUUGACCGCCUGGGGAGUACGGCCGCAGGUUGAAACUCAAAGGAAUUGACGGGGGCCCGCACAAGCGGUGGAUGAUGUGGAUUAAUUCGAUGCAACGCGAAGAACCUUACCUACCCUUGACAUGCCAGGAACUUUCCAGAGAUGGAUUGGUGCCCGAAAGGGAACCUGGCACAGGGCUGAUGGCUGUCGUCGCUCGGGUCGUGGAUGUUGGGUUAAGUCCCGCACGAGCGCAACCCUUAUCAUUAUUGCUACCAGGGCACUCUAUGAGACUGCGGUGAAACGGAGAAGGUGGGAUGACGUCAGCUCAUGGCCUUAUGGUGGGUU
rnacentral:rRNA from 1 species